rnacentral:rRNA from 1 species
AGUAACAGUCAGAAAUGACUGCUAAUACCGCAUAAGACCACAGCACCGCAUGGUGCAGGGGUAAAAACUCCGGUGGUACAGGAUGGACCCGCGUCUGAUUAGCUGGUUGGUGAGGUAACGGCUCACCAAGGCGACGAUCAGUAGCCGGCUUGAGAGAGUGAACGGCCACAUUGGGACUGAGACACGGCCCAAACUCCUACGGGAGGCAGCAUG